GACGGGGCCGCACAAGCGGUGGAGCAUGUGGUUUAUUCGAAGCAACGCGAAGAACCUUACCAGGUCUUGACAUCUCGAUGCUAUUUCUAGAGAUAGAAAGUUACUUCGGUACAUCGGUGACAGGUGGUGCAUGGUUGUCGUCAGCUCGUGUCGUGAGAUGUUGGGUUAAGUCCCGCAACGAGCGCAACCCCUAUUGUUAGUUGCCAUCAUUCAGUUGGGCACUCUAGCGAGACUGCCGGUAAUAAACCGGAGGAAGGUGGGGAUGACGUCAAAUCAUCAUGCCCCUUAUGACCUGGGCUACACACGUGCUACAAUGGUUGGUACAACGAGUUGCGAGUCGGUGACGGCGAGCUAAUCUCUUAAAGCCAAUCUCAGUUCGGAUUGUAGGCUGCAACUCGCCUACAUGAAGUCGGAAUCGCUAGUAAUCGCGGAUCAGCACGCCGCGGUGAAUACGUUCCCGGGCCUU
rnacentral:rRNA from 1 species